CCUAUGCUGAGGUUAACCUUAAACAGAAGGCCAAAGCCAAGAAGAAGAAAGAAACAGAAACCCCACCUGAGGCAGAUUCGGUCUAUUCUCAAGUGAAGCCAGUCACAGCCCCAGGACCUUGAGGGGGGCAGGGAUGGACGGAUGGAAGGAUGGAGUGAUGGAGGGAUGGAU